AUUGAACGCUGGCGGCAGGCCUAGCACAUGCAAGUCGAGCGGGGUUUUCGGACCUAGCGGCGGACGGGUGAGUAAUGCGUAGGAAGCUGCCCGAUAGAGGGGGAUACCAGUUGGAAACGAUUGUUAAUACCGCAUAAUGUCUACGGACCAAAGUGUGGGACCUUCGGGCCACAUGCUAUCGGAUGCGCCUACGUGGGAUUAGCUAGUUGGUGAGGUAAUGGCUCACCAAGGCGACGAUCUCUAGCUGGUUUGAGAGGAUGAUCAGCCACACUGGAACUGAGACACGGUCCAGACUCCUACGGGAGGCAGCAGUGGGGAAUAUUGGACAAUGGGCGCAAGCCUGAUCCAGCCAUGCCGCGUGUGUGAAGAAGGCCUACGGGUUGUAAAGCACUUUCAGCGAGGAGGAAGGGGUGUGUGUUAAUAGUACACACCUUUGACGUUACUCGCAGAAGAAGCACCGGCUAACUCUGUGCCAGCAGCCGCCGUAACAC
rnacentral:rRNA from 1 species